rnacentral:lncRNA from 1 species
CCAAUUUCAGGCAGAUUGCUAUUGUAACUUAUGUAAGAAAUGCAUUUAUAAUUUCUUAUUUCUACAGUUACGUAAUUAUAGCAUCUUCUGUCAGAAAUACAAGUUUAUUUAUACAAAAAUAACAUCAUUCCCAUGGCUACCUGGGAGAAUAAGCAGUGCUCAAAAAAGAAAAAUGUUACAACAGUUAUUCAGAUAAUGGCACAGAUCCUUCUUAUUCUUAUCUACUAUUACUGCUUCCUCCAUAUUUAUUCUCUUCACCCAAGUAAACCUCAAUUUAUGUUCAAAUUCAUAUAUCUUCAGAUCUACUUCAAUGGUUUCUUAGUAACUUUUCGUCUGUCAUUUAUAAGUAAAGGAUAUAUUUGCUUCCUUAAUAACUUAUAUUCCUCUAUCUUAUGAGUGGUUGCAAAAUUCGCUAAUAAUUUUACAUUGCAUUGAUAUAAGAAACAACCAACAUAUUCCUCACCCUGCGGUUGGGGAUAGAAUACACCCGCCGUCUGAUUCACGUAUCUUAAAAGGCGACUAGUGUCCCGAAUCUUAUGGUGUGAGCUAUUGUGCCGAGAAGAAUGGCGGAAAGUCAAAAGUCGCUAACAAUACCUGUCCAGAACUUCUUCGACUUUGGCGUAUGAGGGAAUUUCCGGGAUUACCUGCCAGUCCAUAACCCGCUUAUGGAUCCAACUCGAGCAAGAAAGGCAAAGCCUUUAUCAGGCUCCUUGUGAAAGAGGACUCGCACCAAAGCAAAGAUGUCGAGUACAUUCACAGCCUCUUUGGGGACAAAAUUUUCCACCUUUCUGAUUGCUCAUUCGCAAUCUGAUACAUCUUUAAGGAAACGCUCCCCAUUUUUUAUUGAAAAAGCCAUUCGUGGCAUAUGGUUACGCCACGCUUGCCCGAAUGUCACUUGCCUGAUUCCCAUUUGUUCGAUUCCCAAUUUUCCGAACCGUUUGCUCGAAUUCCUAUCUGUCCG